rnacentral:tRNA from 1 species
GCCGGAGUGGCGAAAUUGGCAGACGCAGGGGACUUAAAAUCCCUCGGGCCCUAAACCCGUGCGGGUUCGACUCCCGCCUCCGGCACCA